GGGCCUGUAGCUCAGUCGGUCAGAGCGCAUCCCUGAUAAGGAUGAGGUCGUUGGUUCAAGUCCAACCAGGCCCA
rnacentral:tRNA from 1 species